rnacentral:tRNA from 1 species
GGACCCGUGGUGUAAUGGUUAACAUGCCGCCCUGUCGAGGCGAGGACUGCCGGUUCGAAUCCGGUCGGGUCCGCCC